AACAACUCCAUUUCCACCCAUCCAAGAAAGAUAUAAAUCACGAUAACCUGAAACUUCACUUAUUAGCCAUUGUCAAGAGACAAAAAGGCACUUUUGUCCAACAUGAAACACUUUGUUCUUGUGGUUUUGUUUUUGGUUGCAGUCUCCAAUAUUUCUGCAUUCCCAAGAUGGUUACCUCUGCCGGGUUCAGGGAGACAUGAUGAUAGGAUGCCUCAUCACCAUGGAGAGCACCCUAAGUUCCCAGGAAGAGACCCACACUGCAAGGGAAAGACAACAGCUGCACCACCUUCAACCACCACUGUCACUACUAGAACAAUCCCUGUUAAAACAAGUACGACUGUACAAUCUACAACCUCCAGCACAACUGUGUCGUCUGCGUCUACUACUGUGUCCAGCACUGCUGGGACGACUGCACCUAACAGAGGGGAUAUUAUGAUAGUCUGACCUAACAUAGAAAAAUAAAGCUGUCUCUGCCCUUUCCUUUAUGGAAGUUAAUCCAUUUGUUUUACUGCAAUGUUCUACAGUACAAUUCUAUGCAGAAUAAUUAAAACAACAAAUACAAACGUUUUGAAAAACAUUCAAUAUUUUAGGUAAGAUCAGAUCAAAAGAGCUUUUUAGUCCCUGCAUCUUCAAAAUAAUUGUAAAUUUUAAAAUUAAUGUUUGCAAAAAGAAAAAUUGUUGGAGACUUCUCUCUCUUUUAUGUCUUUUGUUUUAUUAACACAUCUGAAAAAUCUCAACAGCUAACUGCAAAACAAAGAACAAUAUCCUUCAUUUAUCUAUUAUACCCUAGAUGCCAGCUAUCUUAAUUUGUAAGGCAUCACAUCAUAUUAGAAAAAAAAUAAUGAUUUUAUAUUUUAUAUUCCUUUCACUUUUUCUGAAAGGUAUGGGGAUUCAGCAUUGUUAACUAUGCAUUGUUAACAUUGUUAAGUACCUAUGUUUUCCUCUUCUGGUGUUUUAAGUUGUUACAAAACUAAAUUAGGUUAGUAGGUUAAAGUUAUUAGUUUGUAAGUACGUAGUCUUUCAGCCUCAAUGGAUUUUUAGCCAGCUGUUUGUGUCUUUCACACAAUUCUUAUAAAUCUAUGCUAUGCUAUAAAUCUUAAAUAAAAUCUGUUCUGUCAGCAGCAA